GAAAUGCGAUAAGUAAUGUGAAUUGCAGAAUUCAGUGAAUCAUCGAAUCUUUGAACGCACAUUGCGCCCGCCAGUAUUCUGGCGGGCAUGCCUGUUCGAGCGUCAUUACAACCCUCAGGCCCCCGGGCCUGGCGUUGGGGAUCGGCGGAAGCCCCCUGCGGGCACAACGCCGUCCCCCAAAUACAGUGGCGGUCCCGCCGCAGCUUCCAUUGCGUAGUAGCUAACACCCCGCAACUGGAGAGCGGCGCGGCCACGCCGUAAAACACCCAACUUCUGAAUGUUGACCUCGAAUCAGGUAGGAAUACCCGCUGAACUUAAGC
rnacentral:misc_RNA from 1 species